UGAUGUGAGGGUGAUCUGGUGAUGACAUCUGUCCCACCAUUGAUCACCAAGGUUGAUUCAGCUAAUGUGGCUGGCUAGGAAGGUGUACCUUUCCUACUCCCUCACAGUUCCCUGCAUCCCUCCUGAAGCUGUGUGCUUGGGCAAAGAGGACAACCUUCCUGAAUGGAGGACCAUUCUUUACUUAAGAGUAUACAAUUAGCUGUGCUCCCCUGCUAGAAGCUACAAACAAUCUCUCAAAAGCACCAUUAAAAAAAACUAUUAUGAGCAUUGUAAUAUAAAAUUCUAAGAUGCUUAUUGAUAAAUUUAUAGUUAGGUCAGGUGUGGUACACAACUGUAAACCCAGCACU
rnacentral:snRNA from 1 species